rnacentral:rRNA from 1 species
CACGUAGGGAGCAAGCGUUGUCCGGAUUUAUUGGGCGUAAAGAGCUCGUAGGUGGUUCGGUAAGUCAGGUGUGAAACCUCCAGGCUCAACCUGGAGACGCCACUUGAUACUGCUGUGACUGGAGUCCGGUAGGGGAGCGUGGAAUUCCUGGUGUAGCGGUGAAAUGCGCAGAUAUCAGGAGGAAUACCAGCGGCGAAGGCGGCGCUCUGGGCCGGUACUGACACUGAGGAGCGAAAGCGUGGGUAGCAAACAGG